UACGUAGGGUGCGAGCGUUAAUCGGAAUUACUGGGCGUAAAGCGUGCGCAGGCGGUUUUGUAAGCCAGAUGUGAAAUCCCCGGGCUUAACCUGGGAAUGGCAUUUGGGACUGGCAAGGCUGGAGUGCGGCAGAGGAGACUGGAAUUCCUGGUGUAGCAGUGAAAUGCGUAGAUAUCAGGAGGAACACCGAUGGCGAAGGCAGGUCUCUGGGCUGACACUGACGCUCAUGCACGAAAGCGUGGGAGCGAAACA
rnacentral:rRNA from 1 species